rnacentral:rRNA from 1 species
CCUACGGGAGGCAGCAGUAAGGAAUAUUGGUCAAUGGACGAAAGUCUGAACCAGCCAUGCCGCGUGAAGGAUUAAGGCCCUCUGGGUUGUAAACUUCUUUUAUCUGGGACGAAAAAAGGGUAUUCUUACUCACUUGACGGUACCAGAGGAAUAAGCACCGGCUAACUCCGUGCCAGCAGCCGCGGUAAUACGGAGGGUGCAAGCGUUAUCCGGAUUUACUGGGUUUAAAGGGUGCGUAGGUGGGUCUGUAAGUCAGUGGUGAAAUCUCCGAGCUUAACUCGGAAACUGCCAUUGAUACUAUAGGUCUUGAAUUAUCUGGAGGUAAGCGGAAUAUGUCAUGUAGCGGUGAAAUGCUUAGAUAUGACAUAGAACACCAAUUGCGAAGGCAGCUUACUACGGAUAUAUUGACACUGAGGCACGAAAGCGUGGGGAUCAAACAGGAUUAGAUACCCUGGUAGUCCACGCCCUAAACGAUGGAUACUCGACAUCAGCGAUACACUGUUGGUGUCUGAGCGAAAGCAUUAAGUAUCCCACCUGGGAAGUACGAUCGCAAGAUUGAAACUCAAAGGAAUUGACGGCUGAGACCGNGACGAGACGACGACGAGGGAGGAGG